rnacentral:rRNA from 1 species
GUUAUUAAUGGGUUAAAUAUUGUGAGUAAGUGAAUUAAUGGAAACAAAAAAAUAUGGCGGUACUUUAAGCUUAUCAGAGGAAUUUGCUCUGUAAUGGAUAAAAAACCUGAAUCUUACUAAAGUUAGUUAAAUCAGCUUGUAUACCACUAUAAGAGUAAUAAUUUAUUAUUAUUUCUAUAAUUUUUUCAUAAAAAAAUAAAUUAAGUCAUGGUGCAGCAAAAAUUUUAGAAUGAAGUGAAUUACAUUUCUUUUAAGAAAAAAAAAUUGAAAAAUUAUAUUAGGAUUUGAAAGUAAAUAAAUAAUAACAUGAUUUAUUGAAUUUAGCUCUAAAGUAUGUAC